rnacentral:lncRNA from 1 species
GCAGGUGGGAGGGUCCUCGAGGGGAACUGAGAAGGUGCCCACCGAGAGUCCAGAAGAAAGUGACACUUCCAAGACAGAAGAAAGCAAGGGAGUCAAACUGCCAACAGUCUGACGCCGAAGGCUUCAGAGAUCUGGCAGCUCAGACCUUGCCGUUGUAACUCUGCAAAAGCCAGAUGAUGCCCGGUCAGGGAGGAGAGGGGAGAGGCCACCUGGGUGGACAUGGCUUUGCCCUGAGCACUCCCUGUGAAGUCGCAGGGACUGUGAGCCCCGUGGGUGGGGGCAGAGCACCCACGGAGGGCUCACAGCUGACCGCAUCACACGGCCUUGCUGAAGGGAGGUGGGGACGCUCGUCCUCAGCCUUGCGGGAGAGUUUGGAGCUCGGAGGUUCACAAAGAGGACUUGGGAACCUUCUCAGGAGAGCCCUGAGGUGGCCCUGUGAUCAUGAAGGAGGCCCUAUGAUCGUGAAGAUAUAAGUAGGCCCAGUGUCUUCAGGCGCUAGGGGUGCACUCUCAGGGGCCACCCCGCACAUCUCCUGAGGGAGAACGUGGAAGAGGACUCCAGUUGUCACAAGGAAUUUAAUUUAGGAGUCCAGACUUCCCGAUGCCGUGCUGAGUGUUCAGUGGUUAACAACCCUGCCGGAGUUCUCCCCUCCGAGCCUGGGAAACGCAGCUUAGCAGCUGUGCACCAAGACCUUGAAGAGUGAACUUGGGUGAUCCUCAUGAAUCCUGUCUGGGAGUGAGCUGGCCCCUGGCCUGCACCGUCCUGCAGCUGGCCGUGGGCUGUCGCUAGCUCCAGUGACCAAGGGCACACAGGGGCUGUCUGUGAGCCCCAGAGCCUUUCUGCACCUCACAUGGGGGCUCAGAGCUUCCUGGGGGCUGCGAGACAGGCCUGAGAGCUGGAGCAAUCCACCUGGCGCCGGCUGAGGCCAGGAUCCGGAAUGUGAGGCGAUCUGGACCAAAGCAGGAGCCCAAGUGGAAAUCUCAGCACAGUGUGUCCUUGCAAAGUCCGGAGGGAGGCCUGACACCGGCUUCUUUUCCUCUCCGGUGGGUGACCGGUUCACUGUGGGUCAUUGUGCUGCCUGG